rnacentral:rRNA from 1 species
UACGUAGGUGGCAAGCGUUGUCCGGAAUUACUGGGCGUAAAGAGCGCGCAGGCGGCUGGUCAAGUCCGAUGUGAAAGCUUCCGGCUUAACUGGGAAAUUGCAUCGGAAACUGAUCGGCUUGAAGGUGGGAGAGGGUAGUGGAAUUCCCGGUGUAGUGGUGAAAAUUCGUAGAUAUUCGGAAGAACACCAGUGGCGAAGGCGGCUCACUGGCCCGGUACUGACGCUGAGGUGCGAAAGCGUGGGGAGCAAACAGG